CUUUAGUUCAAAAACAGAUAAAAUAAGAUAAAAUUAGGUAAUCAUUCUUUCAUGCAAAGUUAUUGAUAUUAACAUAGCUAAUUACAAUUAUGUGUUCAUUGAGUUGGUAAAUUAAUUACUUAGACUUAAAGAGACAGGGAUUCAAAUGCUGACUUUGCCCUUUUAGUAAAGGUUUUGGGGUAUGUUUUAUUUUUAUGGAAAGUAGUACUAUUAUCACUUCCACCCAGGGUGGCUGGAUGAACCGAGAUUGUACGCGGGGAAGAAUAAACAAUGCCUGUCAUGUAAUUCGUGUUAAAUAAUUGUUUAUCAUUUAUUGAUUCAGACUUAUUCACCCCCAGAACUGCUUCUUCCUAGUAUAAGGAAUUAGUAUAAGUAUACGGAGCAAGCAAAUUGGUUAUACAAGGUAAGCCAUUUCAACUGUAUUGAAAUCAUUUGCCUGAAACGUUUUUGUUCCCAUUCAACAUUGCUUGUUUACACGGUGUCGGAUCAAAUGGGAGAGAGAACAAGGUGAUUCACGAUCAUCCUCCAAAGAGGCAGCUGCAACAUAAACGAUGUCUCAGGAAACAGCAUAAUCUGUUUAUGUGGCCACAACUGUGUGAUCUCUGACCUGUCUUAAUCUUCAGGGGUGGAUAUGUGUGGCACUUUUGUCCCCAGGUGGAACCGAAUAUUGACCAAAAAAAAAAAAAAAAAAAAAAAAAAAGAGAGAGAGAGAGACCCACCAUUAAUUUGUGUAUUUCUUUUAUAUCAUUGCAGAUAUCUUGAAAACCUUUGGUAUAGGUUUCAAAUCUUCACUUGCUUCAUUGAGCUCAUCUCUCCUGCUUUGCAAAGGUUCAUCCAUGUUGCUGUGAAUAAUUGGAGUCCUGCUUUUAUCUUUAAAAAUACCCUGGAGGAGUGAGCCAGCAUUGUAGUCAUUGUCUGACAAGGCAGAGAGCUAAUGGUAUGGAAGUAAAGUGAAGUGCUCUCAAGAAUCCUUCUGUGGAUCACUGAUAUAAAGUCUAGACACAGCAUAAAAAAACAACUAGUAAGACACUGGAGAGUGUCCAAAAUGAGACAGAAGCCAGAAGAUAGUUCAUCUUCAGAAAAAACUUCAACAGGAAAUGGAAACGGUUGAAAGCUUGCGGCUUUGUCUUUGCAGGACGCUCAUCAUGAGUUGGAAGCAGAAACUCACAGCCUCAUUACUCAGGGUGUAAAAAACCAAGAACAUAAUUCUAGAAGAGAGCAGGGUCCAACGUAUGAAUAUAUACUAUGUGCAAUUCCUUGUUUGAUUGUGCAUGCUAGUGGUUAUACUGAGAGGACUCAAAGAAAAUGCAAGAAGAGAAAUAAUAGAACCUAUCCUUAAAAGACAGAGCUGUACUGGGUGAUAUCCAUGAAUACGCUCUUUUUUUUUUAAUUAAGUGUAUUUUCCAAAUAUGUAGCUCACAUGGCAAAAAGCUAAAAAGCCUUAUUGGCUUAAAGGAUCAGAGAACAGAGACUGAGGCAGAUAGAGAAUUAGCAGAGGAAUUUCCAGAAUCAAACAACCUGAGAGAGGAUAAACUCCAAAAUAUGAGUAGAAGCACUACUUAAAUCUGUAAUGGUUACCAAAUUAUAAAUAUAAGGGGAUAAUACAAAGAGAUUGGGUUGUAAUAGCAACAACCUGAAGCUGUAAGAAGUAUGUAAAGAUUUGAAAUGCUGCAUAUCAUGGAAGAGACGAACAGAAUAACCAGAACAACACACAGAUUGCAAAAUAGCUCUGCAAUAAUAUCUGAACUAUUCAGUUUUACACUGAAAAUUUGAAGACAUACAUAGUGACAGUAAACCGUGAUCCAUACUCAGGAAAAAUGACAGCAAAUGGAACAGAGACUAAACAUGCCCACAUGUUAUAUACGGCAGACCAAGAUUUAAAAGUAUAUGUUAUGAAUACCUUCAAAAAUAAAGAAAAAAUAUCAAGGAAUUAAAAGAAAAAAAUGAUCCUAAUGAAAAAAUUAGAGAAUUUGAACAGAGAAGCUGAAUCUAUAUAAAUAAGUGGAUAGAAAUUUCCAGUAGACAAGCACAAAAACAGAAUGAAAAGUUGAAAGAAGAUUCAGUGACCUCAAAAGAUAGAGCAAUAGAAUUUACUCAAUCCGAAGAACAGAGAGAAAAAAGGCUAAAAGGUUGAAUGUGCUUAAGAGUAUAGCUAUGAUAAGAAUGCUAAGUUUUCAAAAAGAGAAUGAGCUGAAAGGAAGCCUCCUGAAAGUGUGAUAAUGGGAGAUGUGCUGUUGAGUUUCCAGUUUCUGACGGGUGACAAAGAGCCUACCUUCGCUAAGCUGUUGGAUACUUUUUAUGGUAGGCACCAAGACUCAGACUACUUAAGUCAGAAAUUUUUAGCAAGUGCUCUGGGCAAUUCAAUAGCUUAGGAAGAAAUAAGGCAUUUUACGUUCAAAGAUUUGGGAAGUCAAUGGUGGAGUUAAUAUGACCCAGUGUUGUGCAGUUAAGAGUUUGUAAGAUUGUGUUAUUGGCACCAACUUGUCUUCUUGCCCUGUAUCCAUGUCCUUUGCAUUUAAAAUUUUCAGUGCAUCCAUUCCAAGGGCAGUGGGCUGGAGGGAUAAUUUCUACUCCUGAUCUUGUCAUGAGACUUGAUGUGGCCAAGUAGAUGUUUGCAGAAAUGAAGCAAACAACGUUGUGAAAAGUGUUUGCACGUUAGGCUUGCUUGCUCCUUUGAUUCCAUCAGUUUCUUGAGAAGAACAUGCCUGCAUGUUCUAGCCUGGGUUAAUACUGGGGGUAGAAUGAAGGACAUAGGAGUAAAGCUACAUCAAUUAAAUUGCCCAGCCAAGUCUAAGCUUAGAGCAGAGUGUCCCAUCCAACCUUCAGAGGGAUGCAUUUGUCCACAAAGAUCAUCAGAGUCAUCCCAAUGAGCCCAGGUCAGCCAACGCUGUGAUAUCCCAUGGACCUGUAAAUUGUAAUAAUAAAUGCCUAUUGUUUUAACCCACUAAGUUUUGAGGUCACUCGUUCCAUACAAAUAUUUAAGUGAUAGAAUAUUUAAAAGUUUCAAGCACUGUGACAAAUGCUUUAUAUAUAUUAUCUGGUUUAACACCCAAAACAUUUUUGUGAGAUAGAUACUGUAUUAUUUUUAACAUUUCCAUAGUAAGAAACAAGGACUCCAAAUGUUAUUUUACUUUUCAAAGUCAUACAGCCAUGGAAUGAAGCCAGGAUUCAAAUGUAGGCAGCCCAUGUCACAUAUUAUAUAUGCCUAAGAAUCUGUGUCUGUUAGAGAUUUUUCUAUCUCCAAAUUGUCAGAAUUGCAUGCUGAGAAAGGGAACUAAAAAUAAACCUUGCAGUAGGAAUAUAGAACAUUUCAAAAUAUGUAAUAACAAGAAAUUUCUUUUUAAUCUUUCUCCCUACACACCACUGACAUAUACAAACGCUGUAAUACAAAUGCUCAAAGUAGUGAAAUACCAACUUCUGUGCUUGCUUACAUUCAGAGUCAGAGGGUGCCAGGAAAAACAUAUGCUUGCUGCCAUGCAUGGGUAUUCAUUCCUAGACCUUCACGAUGCCUCCUACUAAUUUAUUUUCAUCACUGGCAGUUUGAAUUGUAUUCCUCUCUCCCCCCCCCCUUUUUUCAUCAUUCAGCACCACUUACAAAAAGUAAGAGAAAAAAAAUAAAAGCUCUAACUCCUAAAAUUUCAGACAUAUGGUGGGGAUUAAACAGGUUCUAUGGGGUUGAGAAGCAGGGGACUUGAACUCUUGACUUGUUCCUACCCUCAAGUGCCCUUAGGUUGUCAGGCAAGUCUUUUUCUUACAUCUUGUAGCCUUGAUUUUCUCCCCAGUAUAAUGGGAUAACUACCAGCUCUGGAAACCUAUGAAACCCAUUUAUUUCUCAUUCUCUCAAAAGUAGGUUGUUGUCCACUAGCUAUAUAUCAGAUCGAAUGCUACUUAAUGAGAUACGGAAAAGGAAACAAAAUAAAAUCCUUGCAAGAGUGCUCAGUCUGGGAAAUAGAGAUGGAGCCAAUAAGUAAAAAAUUACAGAAAAAUGUAAUAAGUGCUCAGUGUUAUUUUUGUCACAAAAAUGUAUUUGCCAUAAAUUUAAAACAAUAUGGUACAGAAGUUUCAAUUAAAUAAUUUAUUUCUAAAUAUGUUUCAUAUUCUAAGAGACUAGAACCAAAAUUUUUUCGCUAAACAUAGUACUUUUGACAACAUUUUCAUCACAAUAUAUGACUUAUGCUUUUUCACUCUCUUUAAAAAAAAAAAAUCUAUGUGUUGAAGGCCAAAUAAUACCUUGGAAAUAUCUACAACCUGGUCAGAUAUAUAUAUGUAUACAGUAUACAUGUACAUUCUCGUAUAUGUGUGUGUAGACACAUAUAUGUGUGUACAUAAUGCAUAUUAUAGAAGAAAAGUGACUUAGAAAAAGGCCAAGACCACUUUUGACUCUUGGGAGGAAUGGAAAAAUAAAAAGUAUCAUGACAAGUUUAUCAUUUAUCUGAUGUCAAUAAAAGUAUACAAAUACUAAACCUGCUAAUUUUCUUUUCGUUUCCUCUCAAUAUUUUCCUUGUGGUAUCCUUGGAGAAGUUGGAAAAUUUAUGGACUUAGUUUAGAAAUACAUUGAAAAAACCUACACUGUAGGAGUUCACGUCAUGGCUCAGUGGUUAACGGAUCUGACUGGCAUCCAUGACGAUGCAAAUUUGAUCCCUGGCCUUUCUCAUUGUGUUAAGGAUCCAGCACUGCAGUGAGCUGUGGAACAGGCUGGCAGCUACAGCUCUGAUUCGCACCCUAGGUUGCGAACCUCCGUAUGCUAUGGGAGCAGUCCUAAAAAAAAAAAAAAAGCUAAACCUACAUUUUAUCAAAAUUGCAAUGGAUAUCACUUUGAUGUCUUAAUGAAAAGUAAGUUUAACUGUGACUAAUAGAAAUAAAUAAAUAGCCAUUUUUUAACAUG
rnacentral:lncRNA from 9 species